rnacentral:rRNA from 1 species
GGUAUGGGAUGAGCUUGCGUCCGAUUAGCUAGUUGGCGGGGCAACGGCCCACCAAGGCGACGAUCGGUAGCCGGCCUGAGAGGGUGAUCGGCCACAUUGGGACUGAGAUACGGCCCAGACUCCUACGGGAGGCAGCAGUAGGGAAUAUUGCACAAUGGGGGAAACCCUGAUGCAGCAACGCCACGUGUGGGAAGAAGCAUUUCGGUGUGUAAACCACUGUCAUGAGGGAAUAAGGCCCGUUUUCGGACGGGAUUGAAUGUACCUUGAGAGGAAGCACCGGCAAACUUCGUGCCAGCAGCCGCGGUAAUACGAGGGGUGCAAGCGUUGUUCGGAAUUACUGGGCGUAAAGGGAGCGUAGGCGGAGAUUCAAGCGGAUUGUACAAUCCCGGGGCCCAACCCCGGCUCUGCAGUCCGAACUGGAUUUCUUGGAUAGUUCAGGGGCAGGC